AAUGUCAGGAUGCAUUUAUUAUUUGGUUUGCUAAUAAGUGCUAAGGUAAUAUAUUCUUCAAACCAAAUCGAGGAUCAUAUUUUUGAACAUGAGUAUUUUUGUACAUGUAAUUCUUUGAUAUUACCACAAAUAAUGUGCUGUCUCAGCUGGGUAUGGUGGCACACACCUGUAAUCCCAGUGGCUUCAGGAGGCUGAGGCAGGAGGAUGGUGAGUUUAAAGCCAGCCUAAGCAAAAAGCAAGGCAUUAAGCAACUCAGUGAGACCCUGUCUCUAAAUAAAAUACAAAAGAAAAAGGGGGCUAUGGAUGUAGUUCAGUGGUCAAAUGCCCCUGAGUUCAAUCCCUAGUACCAAAAAAAAAAAUUGUCUCAUUCAACUCAUGUAUAUACAGUCUUGUAGAUAAAAUCUGAAUCACUGACAUAGAAAAUACUACUACUGAGGUCAUGGUUACAGAUUUGAUCUCCAUAUAUGUUAGUUUACACAGAAAAAUAAUACAUUCAAUAGCCAAAAACCGACCCUAACCCUACUCUGUUAAUGGGCGAGAAUUGGGAAGAAUAGAUGUUUAACAGAACUUGUGUAUGUAAAUAUACUUCACAUAUGCCUAGUGGCAAACAUUGAACAGCACAGGUCUAAACCAAUUUUAGAAAUGAAAUACACAUCGCCUAUCCUGUAGGUGAGAUGUGAAGGUGAGAAAACUUGAAGUUUCUUCCAAAAAUUAUUUUUCACCUGUCUUGAAUGCAGUGGAAACUGCAGACUGAGUUUAAGUAGGCCCCAGGCCAUCUCCUUGAAUGAGUUCAAUUAUUGAAUCUUCCUUCUUAAAAUUAAAACAUUGGAUCUGGGGAAAAUUAUAGAUUAGACUCCUCAGUGUUUUUUUAUUUGAUGUAGCAAAAGGGUUGCUAUGUAUCAAAUCUGAUUUAUGAUGCGCAAAUUUUUCUAUGAUGCAUUUAAAGAAACAUGUCUACUGGAUUUUCUCAAAGCAGAACACACCUAUGUUGGAAACGAUGCUGAAAGCAGUCUAGUGAUCAUGUAUCACUAAUUUGCCCUUCAUUUGUUGGUAACAUUCUAUUCCUUUUGGUACAAGCAGACUUAGAUGCAUUCAGUGCAUGCCUGAGUGAUUAUGUGAAGAGCAUAUGUUUACAGAAAUUGACUUUCUUUUGGCAUACAAAGAAUUCAGGGGGCUGGGGUUGGGGCUCAGAGGCAGAGUGCUCGUCUUGCAUGUGUGGGGCCCUGGGCUCAAUCCUCAGCACGACAUAAAUAAAACAAAGGUAUUGUGUCCGUCUACAACUAAAAUAAAAUUUUUUUAAAAUUCAGAAAUAUUUACUAACUCUCUCUGUAAAGAAUGAAUUCCCCCAAAUUUAAAAAUAA
rnacentral:lncRNA from 1 species